rnacentral:lncRNA from 1 species
CUCCAUUGCCUCCGGGGCCGCGAGUCUGAGCUCCAGGCCCGGAACACCCCUCCCCCACCCCAGACUCCGGCUCUAAAUUUGCUUUCUCCCGGUCCCUCUGUUCCUUGAAAGUCCGCGAUUCUCCUUCCAAACUGCCCUUGGAUCCAGAGACCCAGAUCCGAACACAUCGCUCAAAGACGACAAUGCUCCGAUCUAGUUCGGGAGACUACGUAUCCUAAUUCUGAUACUUCCUCCCACUUCUCCUAGUCUCCUGACUUUCAAACGCCCCUGGACUUCACCUCCAAACUCGCUGUCCGGCUCCAAGACCCGAACAUUGAACUCUUCCCGGCAACCUCCUUCCCCCGCCAGUGCGUCUUGGAGUCCCAAGAAUCCUUGACCCUAGUUCUCUCGCUUCUCCAAAUACUCAGAAUCUCAGCUCCGUACCUCUCACACCUUUUCCAGAACACGAUAAAGCCCCGAAUUCAACCCGUCCGGAAGACCCAAGUGGAAUCGAAUCUCCAGGUUCCCUGUCUCAAAAGUUCCUCCCCUCUGUUCUCUCGCUUCUCCAAAAGCCCAACGUCCCAGCUUCAAACUCCCUCCACUUGAAAAUACUGCCCCAACAACCUCGCCUCCCCUCCUGGGUCUUGAACUCAGUCUCAGGUCCCCAGACCCUCCCUAUCAUCACCCUGAAUCUGAGGCCCCCUCCCCCGGUCCCACCCAGACCCCGCCUCCGCAAGUCCCCGGGGCGCGCUUCUCUCUCCCCCAGCCUAAGGUAAAUUCCCAAGCCAGGCGACCACUCCUCACCGCAGCUGCCAGGUUCGCCACGACCACCUCCUGGAACGCCCACAGCGUUGCGACCCGCCAGUGCCAGGACCCACCAGUGACCGGUUGGAGCCUCGCUCACCUCGGCGGGGCCUCUCCGUCUGGCCUCUGGCCCACCAGCCCCGCCCCGGAGCCGAGCCGCGAGCCGCGAUUGGCUGGAGUCCCGCCCGCCGCGGGGCGUCGAUUGGCUGGGCGGAGCCAUCCGCCCGUGCCCCGAGACGCCGGAUCCGCCCACCCCUCCCUAGCGCCCCGGGCCAUUUAAAGAAGUGCAACUGGCAGGGGGCGGGGCAGCGACUCCGGGGUGGAGGGCGGCCGGUCCAACAGAACCGCUUCCUUCCACUCAGCUACAGUCCUCGCUCCAAGAUCGUCACCAUUGCUCCCUGCGGUUCCUUUAUGGUAGGCCUGGACUCCACCGUGGAGCCAGAGGGGCUGGCAUGCCCCUCCCCAAGUCGCUGUGCAGGCGGGCGGGGCCGAGCAACCGGAGGAGGCCGCGCCCCCGGGGUUCCGAGGGAGGACGCUGGGGCGCGGGGGAUGACGUAGCGGAAGACCAGCCAAUAGAGUGGCGCGGCCCGCGUUGCCUAGGCGAUCGUAGCCUCGCCCCCUUGCUGCCCCUCCCGCCCCCUAUACGUUACCGCGCGGCCCCUUCUUAAUCCUCAGGUUUUCUCAGCACGUCCUCUGGUGGUCCCACCUGGGUCUUCUGACACCCUCUUUCCUUCCCCGCUCCAUCAAGAUGACUCCUCUGCUACUGUUCAUGGCUUCCUACCCACCCCGAAUACAAACUUCAAACUCCUUCCUUUUGCCACAAAGCCCCUCACGACCUUGCUUGAUGCGUUCUCCUGGUUCUCUCCGAUCCUGCCCCAUUGAGUCACUUCCAGUUUUUCUAAAAUGGCUUCAAGCUCCCAUUCACCCCAUCAGGAAAACGAAAGGAUUUUCUCUGUUUGUUUUCUUCCCUGCUUUACCCCAGUGUCUACAACAAUGCCAGGUACAUAAU